AACUAUACAGGGGCUAACUAUGCAGGAUGCUAACUAUGCAGGUUCUAACUAUACAGGUGCUAACUAUGCAGGAUGCUAACUAUGCAGGAUGCUAACUAUGCAGGAUGCUAACUAUGCAGGUACAAACUAUGCAGGUACAAACUAUGCAGGUGCAAACUAUGCAGGUAGUAACUAUGCUGGUGCUAACUAUACAGGGGCUAACUAUGCAGGAUGCUAACUAUGCAGGUGCUAAAUAUGCAGGUGCUAACUAAGCAGGUGCUAAUGAUGCAGGUUUGUAGGUGCUAAUUUUGCAGGAUGCUAACUGUGCAGGUGCUCGCUAUGCAGGUGCCAACUAUGCAGGAUGCUAGCUAUGCAGGAUGCUAGCUAUGCAGGUGCUAACUAUGCAGGUGCUAACUAUGCAGGUGCUAACUAUGCAUGUGCUCAGUAU
ensembl:lncRNA